rnacentral:rRNA from 1 species
CUACGGGCUGCACCAGUCGAGAAUCUUUUGCAAUGCGCGAAAGCGUGACAAUGCGACGCCGCGUGAGCGAUGAAGCCCUUCGGGGUGUAAAGCUCUGUCAGCCCGGAUGAAUAUGCGUUCUCUAAUACAGAACGGAGACGACAGUACGGGCAGAGGAAGCCACGGCUAACUCCGUGCCAGCAGCCGCGGUAAUACGGAGGUGGCAAGCGUUGUUCGGAUUUAUUGGGUGUAAAGGGUAUGUAGGCGUCCUGAUAAGUCGAAUGUGAAAUCCCUUGGCUUAACCAAGGAACUGCGUUCGAAACUAUCAGGAUUGAGCAUGGAAGAGGAGAGUGGAAUUUCCGGUGUAAGGGUGAAAUCUGUAGAUAUCGGGAGGAACACCAGUGGCGAAAGCGGCUCUCUGGUCCAAGGCUGACGCUGAAAUACGAAAGCAAGGGGAGCAAACAGGAUUAGAUACCCCAGUAGUC